GACUGUACAAAGGUAGCAUAAUCAUUUGUCUUUUAAUUGAAGACUGGUAUGAAUGGUUUGAUGAAAAAUAUACUUUCUUUAUGUUAUAGGAAAAAUUUAUCUUUUUAGUGAAAAUACUAAAAUUAUUAUAUAGGACGAGAAGACCCUAUAGAACUUUAAUUUAUAAUUUAUAAUAUAAUUUUGGUUAUUUUUAUUUUUAUAUAAAUUAUAAAUUUGUGUUGGGGUGAUAGAUAAAAUAUAAAAACUUUAUUUUUUGGUAUCAAUUAUUUUUGUAAAUUUUUUGAUCCUUUUUUUAAGAAGGAAGAAUAAGUUACCUUAGGGAUAACAGCGUUAUUAUUUUGGAGAGUUCUUAUCGAUAAAUUAGUUUGCGACCUCGAUGUUGGAUUAAAAUUAGUAAUAGGGGGAGAUUCUUAUAUACUAGGUCUGUUCGACCUUUAAAUUUUUACA
rnacentral:rRNA from 2 species